CGCGCGCGCAGGGGCCCGGCAUCGCUUCUCGGCCUUUUGGCUAAGAUCAAGUGUAGUAUCUGUUCUUAUCAGUUUAAUAUCUGAUACGUCCUCUAUCCGAGGACAAUAUAUUAAAUGGAUUUUUGGAGCCGGGAGUUGGAAUAGGAGCUUGCUCCGUCCACUCCGCGCAUCGACCCGGUAUUGCAGUACCUCCGGGCACGGUGCACCCCCUCGGGUGAUACAACGCGGUUUCAAAGGCAGACUUCACCCAGCUCGUGGGCUUGCUUGCCCAGAAACGUCUGGGGCUUCUCCUUGCUCGUGUUUUGUGCUGUUUCCCCUGCGUGUGCAGACGAACAGCAGACCAACCACACCGGCCAGCCUAGACGUCUCGCUGUCCAGCCCCAAUGGCAGUGGUCCACCUCUGGGAGCCAACCAGCCUGCACCUCCCAACAGGGGACUCUGACAUACGUAGCUAUUGCCUCCAAGCCCCACAUGGGCGCCGGUUCUGCUCCCACCUCUUCCGUUCUAGCUCUCUGCUACGGCCCCUGCACCCGCAUGCAUGGGAGACCCAGGAGAACCUCCUGCCUCCUGCCUUUGCAUCCCACCAGAGAACCAGAGCAUGCAAGACCUCUCUCUACCUCUCUCUCUGACCCUGUCUUUCUUUCCUUUCUUUCCCCUCCCCUCCCCUCCUCUGAAAUUUUCAUUAAAAACAGCCAGGCCCCAGGAAGAUGGGCUAGGAAAGGCCAGCAGGGGGCUCUGAGCCCUUGACCACUCCCAGAAGGAAAUAGGGGUGGGAGAGGGCUCCCCGUACACUUCCUCACUGGGUUCAGGCCUCUCCAGGCUCAUGGGCCCCUAAGUUCAAAGUCUCUUUAGCUGAGGGGAGAAGGGGCAGGAAGAGACAGAAAGAGCCCCCCCCUUCCCCUGCAUUGUCUUUUCACAGACGCUAACACUGUGGAGACCAGGGAGCAGCAGGUGGAGGAGCCCUUCCACCCCGAAGGCAGCUUUGUCCCCCCAACACAAAAUAAAUAAAUACAUACAUAAAAAGAAAUAUUGUGUUGGCCGGUGCCAGGGCUCACUUGGCUAAUCCUCCACCUGUGGUGCUGGCACCUCAGGUUCUAGUCCAGGUUGGGGCGCCGGUUCUGUCCCGGCUGCUCCUCUUCCAGUCCAGCUCUCUGCUGUGGCCCGGGAAGGCAGUGGAGGAUGGCCCAGGUCCUUGGGCCCUGCACCCGCAUGGGAAACCAGGAGGAAGCACCUGGCUCCUGGCUUUGGAUCGGAGCACUGCGCGCCGGCCGUGGCGUCCAUUUGGGGGGUGAACCAACGGUAAAAGGAAGACUUUCUCUCUCUCUCUCACUGUCUAAUUCUGCCUGUCCCCCCCCCCAAAAAAAUUUUUUUUAAAAUAUUGUCUUAAUUUGGAGCUUUUUAACAGGUUCUUUCAAAUGUAAAUCAAGGAAAUUGGCAGAUGGAAAACAUCACAAGUAUAGAAAUGUGUGCUUGAUAAGAAAGGUUAAGAAGAUAAAAGGUUUUUUUGAAUAAAGAAAGGACAUGGUUUGUAAGAAUGACUUCAUCCUGAUGGCUGGUUUACUCUUGACUGGAAUGGAAAUGAUAGAACAUUUCAAGUAAGUUGAAGAGGGUGUGAUGAAGUCACAGAACGUUAUAAAAAAUAAAUUUUUAAUCCAAAUCUAUUCUAUUUUUUUUGUUAACAUAGAAUUAUAAUCUGAUAAUCCUCUAUUAAGGAAAUAGAGGAUUUUUGCAAUACAUAUGUUAGGAAACUUUUUUUUAAAGAUUUUAUUUAUUUAUUUGACAGGUAGAGUUACAGACAGUGAGAGAGAGAGAAAGAGAGAGAGAGAGAGAGAGGGAGAAAGAGACAGAGGUAUUCCAUCUACUGGUUCACUCCUCAAAUGGCCGCAAUGGCCGGAGCUGCAUCGAUCCGAAGCCCAAGAGCCGGGAGCUUCUUCCCAGUCUCCAACGCUGGUGCAGGGGCCCAAGGACUUGGGCCAUCUCCCACUGCUUUCCCAGGCCAUAGCUGAGAGCUGGAUUGGAAGAGGAGCAACCGGGACUCGAACCACCGCCCAUUUGGAAUGCUGGCAUCACAGGUGGAGGAUUAAGCUAGUGCGCCAUGGCACCAGCCCCUAGCAAACAGUUUUUAAUUGUCUCAGAAAUCUGUUUAAAACUUGUAGCAUCUCCUUUUGAUCGUUUUAAUUGGUGACUCUGUUCAGUGUUUUAGCAAGCUCCAGUAAGCUCGUCUCUGUCCCUAGUCCUGACUCUGUUAACACUGUUCCAAAGCAUGGGAUUCGAUUCAAUGCCCCAGCUCUUAAAUUUAAGGUUUUAUUUCUGAGUUUUGGAACAAAACAAAAAAAGUUUUUUGUGGUAACCAGGGGGAAGCGUGGACGACAACAAGUCAGCAGCGACAGGCGCCCAAGGGCAACACCACCACAGAGUCCGGAACAUCUCUCUUUCCCAAUGCUCGGCAUAAGAGGUGGAGGUGGGGCCGACAUUUGGUCAGCUUGAGCAGCCUUUGUCUACACCAGGGUGCCCGGGUUCCAGGCCCUGGGGUGCAGCAGCAUGUGCCAUCAAGGGGGGGCACGUGACAUCAAAAAGCAGGCCAUAGGGUUUUUGUCUUUAGCUGUUGAGAGUUAGUGUUGGGCUUUAGAAAACGCCCAAGUGUUAGGGCUUCUCCCUCACCUCCCAUCUGCGCCACCAUGGCUGGAGGUCCAGGCUCCUUGCUGUAACUUGACCAAACUAGCAAACCAGGAGGUUGAACCUCUCUUGCUGUGUGCUUCAGAUAAUCUUAUUAAAUAAUUUCUGUUCCCCAUAUUGGUGCGUCUGGGUGCAAUACCCGACUCAAGCUUCCUUCCCCCUUCCCUAAGCAGGUCACCUGUGGUGGCUGAAGUCCUUGGGCCCCUGUCGUCCUUGGGAAAGACCUGGAUCACCUUCUCAGCUCCCACCACGCACAUGGGAGGUCAGAAGAAGCUCCUGGCCCAGGCCUGGUCCUAGUGGCCAUUUUGGGUGUGAACCGGGGAAACCAGGGAAUGGAGGAUAUUUUUCGCUCGCUCUAAAUUUCAGCAACAUCUGGCGCCAACAUGGCUGAGAGACAGCGUGACGACUUGGCGAGGUUCCCCCCUUGAUUUCGGCAAGUAGGCCCCUCAGCGUUUUGUUUGCUGUUCUGUUCUGUGAGGGUGAGCACAGAACCCCCUCCUACGCCCCUUUCCUUGUCCUUGUCCUCGGUCGAAGUGACCCCAGGUUAAGCACACACCCACCGCCCAGAAGCAUAACGCCGCUUCUCGGCUCCUCCUUUUACUUUUGGUUCGCCGGGGGAAUUCGCAGAAGGGACCGAUCAUCCCGGAAUUCGGAACCAGGCCAUCUUCCCUCACUCGAGAGAGGUGACGCUCCGGAGACACCGUGUGGGCACACGGCCUUGACCUAACGGAACCAGGAAGUCCCCCACUAAGCGCAGGACAUACGUACGAUCUGAUACACCACUGUCUGUUCGCCUAAGAGAAUGCGGGACAGCCCAUUUGGGUACCAGCCAGAAACAUGAAGCCUGCAACUGACAGUCAGCCAGGACCAGCUGAACAAGACUGAGAGACCGCCUUGUUCACGGGUGCUCCUGCUACUGAUGGUCAAGCUGCUGGCCUAUCAUCCUGCCCUGAGGAACUGCCCAUAGCCACAUCCGCUACUGCUUCAUACCCCACUUAGCUCUGGUCAGCCACUCGAACAGCCAACAGCCUGCGUGCAGUCAUGCCAUUCCUGAUUACCAUUGUUCCUCACUCCUACCCCCAUCUGAGCAAGCACUCCUGUGGUCUCCCGUUUUGAGGGCUGGUUAGUCAACGUCAGGUAAGAUCCCCUGAGGGACAACCGAAGACAGGCACAAGCCACAUGAGACCACAUGGAAACGGGGUCAACAAUGGUAUGGCCAAGGAUCAUGCCUCCUGUUGCUCAAAAAUAAAUGAAAAGGGGGACGUGUUAUGGAAUGAGAAGGCCGUGCCAAGAUGGCGCUGGCGAGCGAGCGAGCGUCAGUUACUCAGGAAUGGCUUCAGAACCCACCUGGCAAAGGAGCCCGCCUGGCAACAGGCAGUGAUUGGUUAAGGCAUAAACCGCCCCUUGACCCGACUGGCUGCCUCGGCUAUAUAAGCUGCUGUACCAACUGAAAUAAACUGGCCCAGCCCCGGUGGUUGUGCCUCCUGGGAGCGAAGCGGUGGAUGGAGGCGCUCGCUCUCGCUCUCGCUGUCUCGCUCUCUCUGUUUCUCUUUAGUCUCGCUCUCGCCCCCUUCCCGUAAUUCUCUCAAACGCACGGAAAUCUUUAAAAGUAAAGUAAAAACGCCUUAUUUCCGGAGGAAGAGUGGGCGGGUGUAAGGGCGGGGUCGGUCCCCCGGGCGGGGGCAGGGGUGGGGCUUCCUGAGCC